rnacentral:rRNA from 1 species
AAAUUGAAGAGUUUGAUCAUGGCUCAGAUUGAACGCUGGCGGCAGGCCUAACACAUGCAAGUCGAACGGUAACAGGAAGCAGCUUGCUGCUUUGCUGACGAGUGGCGGACGGGUGAGUAAUGUCUGGGAAACUGCCUGAUGGAGGGGGAUAACUACUGGAAACGGUGGCUAAUACCGCAUAACGUCGCAAGACCAAAGAGGGGGACCUUCGGGCCUCUUGCCAUCAGAUGUGCCCAGAUGGGAUUAGCUGGUAGGUGGGGUAACGGCUCACC